CUUCCUCUCUGCAAGUCCUCACCUUCACUAUAUAGUCCUCAAUGUGUCUUUGAAUCCCUGGUACCAAGUAGUUUUUGCCAAAUGAUGGAUUAAAGAACAAAAGUAAAUAAACAACAACAACAAUAGAAAUAAAGAGUAAGAUAUUCAUGAAUAUUAUAGUGAAUGAAUGUGGCUGUUUCUGGACUCAAAUGUCUUUGAAGGGAAAAGACGCAGAUUCAUUUCAACAAAUAUUUAUUGAGCGCCUCCUAUGAGAAGCCUGUGUGCCGAGUGCUAGAGGGGUACAAAGACAACCAGGACAGGACUGGGAUUCCCAGCCCACACUGUACCCACACCGAACCUAUUGAUGGAACACACAGGUGUGCAUAGCCCCACACCUGCAACCUUGAAGCCGCAUGCAUAUGGCUCUGGGCCUAAUCCAUAUGGGCUCCUGCUUUGCCAGGAAGAGCAGGAGCCGGCCACGCAGCCCAGCUCUGGCACUGGGCCCUGAACAGAGUCAGCCACCAAACUUUUGGAAAAGCUUGUCGCUUCUUGACAAAAACGGACAGAUGCAGCUGACACCAACUCCCCCUCCUCUCUCACUGCCUUCAACACAGAUGUGGCGCAGCUGUGGCCAGCCCUUUUGCAUGAUGGGGCAAAGGAAAACAUGCUGAGGAUGGCAAAGUGAAAGAAGAGAGAACCUGGCUCUCAGUAACAUCCCAAGCCGCUGCACCAGCACCUGGAAGCAAGCACCUACCUUCAGUGCCUUGCUAUUAAGGAAACAGAAAGCUGUUUAAGUCCUUGUUAGUAAGUGCUAUGUUGCUGGCCAAACAUAUGCUAACACAUCCAAACACAAACAAACACUAUGCCUGAUACUGGUACAUAUAUAUGUGUUGUGUGUAUUGAUGCAUGUGUAUGUGUGUGUUUGUGUGUGUGCGCACACGUGUGUGUUGAAUCAUGUCUCCCCCAAAGGAUAUAUUGAACUCCUAACCCCUGAUGCUUAUGAAUGUGACCUUAUUAGGGUGUUUGCAGAUGCAAUCAAGAGAAGAUGGGAUCAACAGGCUUGGCCCUAAUCCAACAUGACUGAAGUCCUUGUGAGAAGAGGUGCACCCCCAGCGCAGAGACAGAGAAGACAGCCACAUGAAGAUGCAGGCAGAUAUCAGAGAGAAUCAUCUACCUGUAUUCUGCGCCUUGAACCUGCCCUUUACCUGCGGCUUGCCCACAUCAGAUCCUGAGGUUCCUGCCUGCUUCUGUCCUUGGAUAAAUGGGAACUCUUACUCUCAUAUCUGGCCACUUUCACCCCUACACAUGAUAACAAGAAGAAAGUAAAGAGAGCAACUGGGGGGGAAGGGGGAGGACAGAAGCUGAAACACAGAUGGUUUCUUAGUGUCUCA
rnacentral:lncRNA from 1 species